AUUCAUUUCCAUUCCAUUGCGAUAUUAAUGAAAAUUUGAAUUUUCCUUGUAAACAGGAAACGUCUGCAUGUUGCAAAUUGUGAUGGAUGCUUUAAAGGACGUAUUGCAGUUCUCAAAAUAUAUAUAUAUAUGCUUGGUUUACACUCCCUCCAAGAAUUCAUCUCAUAGUUGGUGCAGGUGGUAGAGUAUUUCGAAGUGGUCAUCGAGCUGCCUAAAUGCUUUAUAGUCAUCCGGAAAACAAGCUUUCAAAGAAAAAAAAUGUCAGAGAGAAGAAUUUGCAUUUGUAGGAAACUCUAAAAUUGUUUUGCAACUCAGGUUCUCUACUUUUGAACUCGACUAAUUUAACAGAAUUUCACUUCGCAUUGCAGUUUGUGAUUUUAUCAAAAUCAAGAAAUAUUGCUAUAAAGUUGUUGUCAUUGUGAAAGAUGUACAAUAGUAAGCGCAAUUUUGCUACUAUUAUUGCUCUAUCGUUAUUCAAAUCUUCUGUAAUUUUUCAUGCCUGAAUUCGCUUUAUAAGUAUUAUAAAAUCUAUCAGUCCUUUCUUUUUCUUAUAUUA